rnacentral:rRNA from 1 species
AGAAUCAACGCUGGCGGCGUGCCUAACACAUGCAAGUCGCACGAGAAAGGGUAGCAAUACCUGAGUAAAGUGGCGCACGGGUGAGUAACACGUGAAUGAUCUACCUCCGAGUGGGGAAUAACUGAGAGAAAUCUUAGCUAAUACCGCAUAACACUUACGAGUCAAAGCAGCAAUGCGCUUGGGAGAGGGAGUUCGCGGCCGAUUAGUUAGUUGGCGGGGUAAUGGCCCACCAAGACGAUGAUCGGUA